GUCAGACAAAAGGCCCAGUCAUGAAAAACAGGCACCAGAAAUCACCAGGAAGACAGGCACUGGCAGCCUGGUUCCCCGGUCAGCAAAAGUGUCCCAGCUGAAGGCAGUUCAUCAACAUGCCGACAGUCAAAACAUCACCGAUCUGAGCUUUUUUCCCUACUUGGAGAAGGUGAAAACCAUGCGCUACUUCUGGGAGAUGAAGUCUGAAGUAAAGAACCCUACCUCUAAUAAAGCUGUGAAAGCGCCUGAAGACAUAACUCCUGCAUGUGAACCCAAUAAUCAAGAGGCUUCUGCUUUUCCCAAGAUAAAGCUCCAUGGACCAAAGCAUUUCCUCGCCUCCCGUAAAUGUGGAAACUUUCUGAAAGACCACAAAGUCAAAGAUGGGAAGGAGAAGCCCUGUAUGAGCCUAAAGGGUCUGAAAGCUCAAAAGAAGAAGAAGCCCCCAGACACAGCAGACACUGUUUCCUUGAGGAAGCAGGCAUUGCUUCUAGAAGAAGUACAGAAACUCAACAGGGAGAAUGCAGAGAAAUCACGCCAUCAGCUCACCCCUGGAAGUCUGGAUCUGGAGGCUGGAGUUUCCCCUGAAGAUGCAAACCUUGAUUCCUCCAGCUGCAACUUGCUGG
rnacentral:lncRNA from 1 species